GGUUAUACAAAACCUGAGCGUGAUCGCCUGGUAAGAACCGUUGUUCAAACAUUUGCUUCAUCAAUAUCCAGUUUCGUAUGGGCUUCAGCCUCCUUCGAUAGCGUUCGUUUUGAAUCGAAUUCCACCAGGCUGCUGCACCCCCUUUUAACUUAUAGGCCACAAUUGGAACUUUGCGCUCCUCUUCCACGUUCAUAACUUCAAAGAAAUGUUCAACCUCUGCUAGCCAAUCAAGAACAGAUUCCACAUCUAACGAACUAGAAAAGUUUUGAAGGUCUAUCUUGAUCUUGUAACCUUCCUGAUAAUUCUGUUGGGGAUUUGCA
rnacentral:lncRNA from 1 species